CGACGCUCGAGGACGACAGGCUGCGCUCUCGGCGCCAGAGGGAGAACGGGCUGGCGGCAGCCGCUGUUUCUGUUUCUGUUUCUGUGGCUCUAUCUGGAUGACGGAAAGCAGAAGUCAUUGUCUUCCAGCUCCUCCAAGGAGUCCAGCAGAUGGUCACUGGGCGUCUUGAUCAUGCUGUUGACCAGGAGAGGCCAGAGCCGGCUGUCGGAAACAAUCUCUGCCCUGGAACCCAGAGGAUGGGUAAAAAGAAGCCACUUGUGAAAUAGCGGAAAAGGCACAGGAAAUGCUCUGCACAGUGGAGGAACUGAGCUAUGAGUGUCAUCAUUUGUUUGUUCCCAGUGGUGACACUUGCGUUCUCUUUCUCACAGAUUUGGAGGCUUUUACAGUUGGGAGGGCUCAAGGUCAGCCACAUGGUCCUCCAGCGCCCCAGCCAUCACCUUCGCAUUCUGCCCUGCAGAGCCACAGGGACCCUUUUAGGAGGCUGUCUGUGAGGAUAGUCCCUGACCGCCAAAAGCUUACAGGUUAGCGAAGGAGAAGAACCCAGGUGCCUGGAAGGCAAGUGCUCCCUCUUGCCUUGCACCCUUUGAUGUUCGGUUUACGUAAUCGUCUCCCACUCCCACCUCCCCGUCGGUCUUAACCAGUCCCAGAGCUGCCCUGCGUGCUUGGGUCAUGCCUACUAGUAGUGGGGGGAGAACGGGACUCCCAAGAUCUAGGGCGUGUGGCCUGGGCCAGUUACUCGAUGUCUGAGUUUGUUUCCUGUCAAAUGGGCGGUUUGGGAAUUUCAAUGAGGUAAUGUAUGCAAAAGAGCCUGUCUCCGUGGGUCAGCGUCAGCUAGGUCCUUUGAUGCUCCAGCGCCCAGCGCAGCGCCUGGCUUAGUCGUGGGCGAUGUCCGAGGGCGGGACAGGUGAUCCCCGGCUCCGCACAGCCGUGACCUCUGAGUCCCCUCCGCCCACAGCGCGCGGUUCCCAGCUGCCGCGCUCGCUUCCGCACGUGGGGGCAGGAAGACCGCCCUCCGCGGGUCUCACGCCCGGCAGCAACUCCCCUGGGGCAGUCCCUUGUACGGGAAGCGACUCCAACCUCGUAGGGGAAGCUGGAGGGGUUUUGUCUGCGGAAGCGUAGCCUGAAGAUAAAAGGGAAGUGUCAGCGCCGAGCCCCGACAGGUAGGCUAACAGGCACUGGGGGCGAGAUCAGCCGGCACGCUGACUCCGCGGCCCCGCGGGCUCUGCGAGAAAUAGGGAGAGCCCCAGGAGGCACCACGCGCCAGGAGGCUGGCUCCCCGGACGCCGCACUGGUCCGUCCGAGGGCGACGCCCUAAACUACAUCUCCCAGGGGGCCCCGGGAGUAAGCGGAGCCAAUCGGAGGGUGAGUGGGCGGGCUCAGCCGGGCCUCUGUCGCCCAGGGGGCGCCGGAGCGGGGCGCUGUGAUCCCGGUCGGAAACCCCAGCGUCCUAUGGCUGUGUCUCCUCGGAGCGGCCAGCGCCAGGCGCUGAGGAGGGGUGGCGGUCGCCUCUGGUAUCCUGGGCACUACGCCAAGAAGUGCAGUCGAUGCGGCCACCAGCGACCUGGGGUUAGCAGGGCGCGGAUGCCCACAACCCUUCACCCUUUAAGAGCCCCUAGACCUCGUUCAGUCGUGUUUCCGGCAAGUAUCUAGCGAGUGCCUGCUGUGCACCUGUUGCUGUGCGGGGACGAAGACAGGCAGGUCAGGUGGCACCCCUGCGCCAGAGCGCGUGUCACCUGGCUUGCGGGGGUGCAGGGGUGGGGUGGUCUCCUCUUGUGGCGAGAGCAGUGAAAGGAAUCCGUUCAGCCCAACGCCAGCACUGUCAUCUUGUCGGUUUUCAAACACCAGGAACCCUAGGGUACCGAUUCUAAAAUUUCUCUCUAUCGCGAUUGAUUUUUGAAAAAUCCAGGGAAAUGCUGUGGGCAGUGGAGAUAAUGGUUUUGUUCAGAAAAAAAGCAUAUGGACCCGCAGUUUCGUGUGUCGUUUCAGGGGAUUUAUGACUUCUGAAGUACGCCUGGCGGAACGGGGCACGGAGUUCUAGGCAUGGACCCUCCCAUCAGUUAAAGCCGCCGGUACUUUUUAGUUGUUUCACAUAUUUCACCUUAAAGGAAGAUUUCCUUUGAUCCAGAGGGCAGAGUUGGGCAGGAACACCCAGCCAGACGGUCUAUCUGUAUUUCUAGUCCCAACAUUCUGUUUAAGUCCUUCCCGUCAAGACUACUUUCUAGUCUCUGAACCACAGCAUUCUAUGCGAAGGUAACAGUGAAUGGAUCUGGAGUUCCCAGGUUUUUUGUGCUUUGAAGAAGCUUCUCUCUCCUGUUUAUUAUUUAAAUUUUAGUUUACAGUGCAAUAUUGGAUUCUGGAGUAGAAUGGAGUGACUCAUCACUUAUAUACAACACCCAGGGCUCAUCACAAGUGCCCUCUUUAAUGCCCCAUUACCCAUUUGUCCCUCCCCCACCUCCCUCCAUCAACCCUCAAGUUUAUUCUCUAUCGU